UUGAUAAGUCUCUGGGGAAAUCUCUUGGUUAACCGUGGGAAUUGCUGGGGAUACUGUCAAGCUUGAAGCCGGGAGAGGUUGGAGGUACUUCCGGGGUAGGGGUGAAAUCUUGUAAUCCCGGGAGGACCACCUGUGGCGAAGGC
rnacentral:rRNA from 1 species